GAUGAACGCUGACAGAAUGCUUAACACAUGCAAGUCUUUGGCGAAUCUGUGCUUGCACAGGCUAGCCAAGGCGGACGGGUGAGUAACGCGUAAAGAACUUGCCCUGCAGACAGGGAUAACAGACGGAAACGACUGAUAACACCUGAUACAGUUGCCGGCACGCAUGUGCCUGGCAAUGAAAAGAGAUGCUGCAGGAGAGCUUUGCGUCCUAUUAGCUUGUUGGUGAGGUGACGGCUCACCAAGGCGAUGAUAGGUAGCCGGCCUGAGAGGGUGAACGGCCACAAGGGGACUGAGAUACGGCCCUUACUCCUACGGGAGACAGCAGUGGGGAAUAUUGGACAAUGGGGGCAACCCUGAUCCAGCAAUUCUGUGUGCACGAAGAAGGUUUUCGGAUUGUAAAGUGCUUUCAGCAGGGAAGAAGAAAGUGACGGUACCUGCAGAAGAAGCGACGGCUAAAUACGUG
rnacentral:rRNA from 1 species